GACUCUGACUCAGUUGAGUUAAGAUAAAUAGAGUGUACAUUAAAAACAGGAAAAUAAAAAAAAUGUCAUCAUAUUCAGAUUCUCCACCUCCUCCUUCUUCUAUUGCUCCCGCUCCCACUCCCACACCAGACACCACUGUUUCUCCUUCAAUACCCACAACAACAACAACAACAACAACAACGUUGUUAGCUGAAGAGAAUCCCAGUACAACACUAGUACUACAACAACAAGUGCCAACACUGACAUGGCCCGACAACAGCGAGCUGGAUCUAGGUUGGAUCGAGAAUCUGAUAUCGACCUUUGACUGGUCUUCCAAGAAUAUUCCUCCCUCGGAAUUCCCGUCGAUUCUUCCAGUUCAUGUCUUCGAUUCUCUGAUUCUCACCGCCUCCAAGAUCCUCCACAAGGAGCCUAACUGUCUCAGAAUCGACCCGGACGACUCCAGCACUGUCGUUGUGGUCGGCGACGUUCACGGUCAAUUGCACGAUCUUAUUUUUCUCUUGAACGACGCUGGUUUUCCUUCUCAAAAUCGAUUCUUUGUGUUCAAUGGUGAUUAUGUCGAUCGAGGAGCUUGGGGCCUCGAGACUUUCCUUCUCUUGUUGGCCUGGAAGGUCUUUAUGCCACAUAGAGUAUUUCUUCUCCGUGGAAAUCAUGAAUCCAAGUAUUGCACCUCUGUUUAUGGCUUUGAGAAGGAGGUGCUGACAAAGUAUGGAGAUAAAGGUAAGCAUGUGUAUCGGAAAUGUUUGGGAUGCUUCGAAGGGCUUCCUUUGGCCACUGUUAUAGCCGGUUGUGUAUAUACCGCUCAUGGAGGGCUUUUCCGCAGCAUACCUACAACCCCAUCAAAGAGAUCAAAAGGGAAGAAGAAGAAUCGUAGACUAUCUUUCAACUCCGAGCCCAAGUCGUUAUCUCUUGGUUCUUUGGAGGAAUUAUCUAGAGCUCGAAGGUCAGUUCUUGAUCCUCCGUGGGAAGGCGUCAAUCUGAUUCCUGGUGAUGUGCUAUGGUCAGAUCCAUCAAUGACUUUUGGUCUUUCUCCAAAUAAAGAGAGAGGUAUUGGACUAUUGUGGGGUCCCGAUUGCACCGAAGACUUCCUAAAAAAGUUCAAUCUAAAGGUUAUAUCAAAAAACCCUUUUAAUCUUAAAACUGAUAUGGCUAUCUUGUGAUAUCUGUCAUUGUGGGCAUGGUUUAUUUUGACUGGCUAUCUCUAAUUAAUAAUGGAAAUCUUAGCAUAAGGAAUUAGGAAAAAAAAGAUAUCAAUUACAUGUAAGAUUAGAUUUUGAAAUUGAUCAUGUUGAUAUUCAAAAUCUAUGAGACUAUAUCUUCUCUUGUUUGCGUACAUAGAUGUUGUUUAGUAAAGAUAUUAUAAAGAUCUUAUUAUCAUUAAUGUUCUUCUUCCAUAUAAAUGUAAUGAAUUAGCUGAAAGGAUAAUCUUCAAUAGAAACCAUUUCUAUUCGGCUAUGUUUCCUUCUUCUGCUCCAGCCCUUCAAGCCUCAGGCCAAAAAGAUUGGGUUCCUCCCCCAUCUAAUUGGAUCAAGAUUAAUUCUGACGCUGCCUUCUCAGCCUCCAAUUCUGCUUUGGCUGUAGUUGCUCAUAACCAUCAUGGUGAGGUGAUCAAAGCAUGGUCCAAGUUGUGUACACUUGGCUCCCCUCUCAUCACUGAAGCUUCAGCAAUCCAGUGGGUGAUGCAGUUAGCUAUCUCUGAAAAGUGAAAACUGGAGACAUGUGAUUAUAGAAGGGGACUCUAAAAUUUGCUUUGAUUCUAUCUCUAACAAGUAUUCGUUUGUUGAUUGGUCUAUUGCUGCUCCUAUAAUUAACAUUUGUAGCUUAGUUGAGUCUUUUUCUAGUUGUGCUUUUAACUGGGUUAAUAGGAGAUGUAAUGGUGCAGCUCACACUGCAGCUGAGUUAGCUUUAGUUUCUUCCAGGCCUUUUUGUUUUAAUAACAGCAAUCUUCCAACUGUUUUACAGUGUGCUUGUAAGGAAGAUUGCCCAUCAGUUGUGUUCCUGUUUUAAGUUAUAUAUAUUGCAGUUUAUGAAAAAAAAGUAGCUGAAAGUUAAUCAUCAGAUCGCAUGAAGGCCCUGAUGCAAGGGAAAAGAGGUCUGGUUUUGGAGGAAUGGAUGUAGGAUAUACCAUAGAUCAUG